GACGAACGCUGGCGGCGUGCCUAAUACAUGCAAGUCGAACGAACCGCGACUGAGUGCUUGCACUUGGUCAAGGUGAGUGGCGAACGGGUGAGUAACACGUGGGUAACCUACCUCAUAGUGGGGGAUAACAGUCGGAAACGACUGCUAAUACCGCAUAGGACAUGGAAUCACAUGAUUCUGUGAGGAAAGGUGGCGCAAGCUAUCGCUAAGAGAUGGACCCGCGGUGCGUUAGCUAGUUGGUAGGGUAAGGGCCUACCAAGGCGAUGAUGCAUAGCCGACCUGAGAGGGUGAUCGGCCACAUUGGGACUGAGACACGGCCCAAACUCCUACGGGAGGCAGCAGUAGGGAAUCUUCCGCAAUGGACGCAAGUCUGACGGAGCAACGCCGCGUGAGUGAAGAAGGUCUUCGGAUCGUAAAGCUCUGUUGUUAGAGAAGAACAGCGCAUAGAGUAACUGUUAUGCGUGUGACGGUAUCUAACCAGAAAGCCACGGCUAACUACGUG
rnacentral:rRNA from 1 species